AAAAGCAAAUAGCUCUUUCWUCCGRWCUCUUYUKCCYGCUCGCCCSSCCGMCAGGWGKGAUGGAUAUYUUUYKRRRRSACCCUUAGAGUUUGAUCCUGGCUCAGAACGAACGCUGGCGGCGUGCUUAACACAUGCAAGUCGAACGUGAUCCGGAGCUUGCUCUGGUGAAAGUGGCGCACGGGUGAGUAACGCGUGGAUAACCUGCCCUGGUAUCUGGGAUAACAUCUCGAAAGGGGUGCUAAUACCGGAUAAGCCUACGGACUCCUCGGAGUCUGCAGGAAAAGGAGGCCUCUAUUUAUAAGCUUCCGUAUCAUGAUGGGUCCGCGUACCAUUAGCUAGUUGGUGGGGUAAUGGCCCACCAAGGCUACGAUGGUUAGCUGGUCUGAGAGGAUGAUCAGCCACACUGGAACUGAGACACGGUCCAGACUCCUACGGGAGGCAGCAGUGGGGAAUUUUGCGCAAUGGGGGAAACCCUGACGCAGCAACGCCGCGUGAGUGAUGAAGGCUUUCGGGUCGUAAAGCUCUGUCGGAGGGGAAGAAAAGAAAACGGUUAAUACCCGUUUUCCUUGACGGUACCCUCAAAGGAAGCACCGGCUAACUCCGUGCCAGCAGCCGCGGUAAUAC
rnacentral:rRNA from 1 species